AGUGAACGCUGGCGGUAGGCCUAACACAUGCAAGUCGAACGGCAGCACAGUAAGAGCUUGCUCUUACGGGUGGCGAGUGGCGGACGGGUGAGGAAUACAUCGGAAUCUACUUUUUCGUGGGGGAUAACGUAGGGAAACUUACGCUAAUACCGCAUACGACCUACGGGUGAAAGCAGGGGAUCUUCGGACCUUGCGCGAUUGAAUGAGCCGAUGUCGGAUUAGCUAGUUGGCGGGGUAAAGGCCCACCAAGGCGACGAUCCGUAGCUGGUCUGAGAGGAUGAUCAGCCACACUGGAACUGAGACACGGGCCAGACUCCUACGGGAGGCAGCAGUGGGGAAUAUUGGACAAUGGGCGCAAGCCUGAUCCAGCCAUACCGCGUGGGUGAAGAAGGCCUUCGGGUUGUAUAGCCCUUUUGUUGGGAAAGAAAAGCAGCAGGUUAAUACCCCGCUGUUCUGACGGUACCCAAAGAAUAAGCACCGGCUAACUUCGUG
rnacentral:rRNA from 1 species